CAUGGGAACAGAGAGUGCGUUCUGCGUUUCACUUUGGUUUUCAUCUACCUUCCUGUGUGUUCUUUUUUCCGGUUUAGGUGCAUGAGCAGGAGGUGUAGAGGGAUUGCAUUGUGCAAGUGGCCGUGAUACUGUGAAUACUCCUAAGGUGAUGUCUCAAUCAGAUCAUGGAAAAAAUUCAUGUGGGAGAGAUCUCCAGCAGUCCAGUAACACGGAAAGCCCUAUCAAGCCAGAUGUAUCCUGCAAGGUCACCAAUCAAGAGCCUGCAAGCUUUUAUGUCAACAUGAUAACUCAAAGGAACAGAACAGUGAAACCCAAACAGAUGAUAUUAGAAGAUGUAGUCUAAAGAACAUUUAUACCGGC